GAUGAACGCUGGCGGCGUGCCUAAUACAUGCAAGUCGAGCGAACGGACGAGAAGCUUGCUUCUCUGAUGUUAGCGGCGGACGGGUGAGUAACACGUGGAUAACCUACCUAUAAGACUGGGAUAACUUCGGGAAACCGGAGCUAAUACCGGAUAAUAUUUUGAACCGCAUGGUUCAAAAGUGAAAGACGGUCUUGCUGUCACUUAUAGAUGGAUCCGCGCUGCAUUAGCUAGUUGGUAAGGUAACGGCUUACCAAGGCAACGAUGCAUAGCCGACCUGAGAGGGGGAUAGGCCACACUGGAAAUGAGACACGGUCCAGAACCCUAAGGGAGGGACGAGUAGGGAAACUUUCGCAAUGGGGGAAAGCCCUACGGAGGAAAGCCGGGGGAGGGAUGAAGGUCUUUGGAUCGGAAAACCCUGUUAUUAGGGAAGAAAAAAUGUGUAAGUAAACAUGCACCUCUUGACGGGAACCAAUUAGAAAGCCCCGGCUAAACACGUG
rnacentral:rRNA from 1 species